rnacentral:rRNA from 1 species
AUGUCGAAGUCUGUAAUAAUUUCUUUGGCAACAACAGGAACAAUCUUGUUCUCACUUUCAGUUAUUCUUCUUGUUCGGAUGCUUUACAAGAAGCUCAGACAAAGGCAGAAGGGAAUGGUGGAAUCUUCAACUAGCGAGGAGCAAUAUGAACGAAUCUCAUAUAAUGCAUUAUUUGGAGGAACUAAUGGAUCUUCAGAUGCAAACUUGCUUGGGAGAGGAAGUUAUGGUGUGGUUUAUAAGUGUGUUUUGGACUCGGAAGAAAGAACAUUGGCUGUCAAGGUGUUCAAUCUUGGUCCAUCUAGGUAUUCCAAGAGUUUUGAGGCUGAAUGUGAGGCCAUGAGAAGGAUACGACACCGUUUUCUCAUCAAGAUCAUUACUUCUUGUUCGAGUGUCAACCACCAAGGUCAAGAGUUCAGGGCAUUGGUUUUUGAGUUCAUGCCCAAUGGUAACUUGGAUGGUUGGCUUCAUCCAAAAUCUCAAGAGCCCACUGCAAACAACACGCUCAGCCUUGCCCAGAGGCUUGAUAUUGCUGUCGAUAUCAUGGAUGCGGUAGAAUAUCUGCACAACUACUGUCAACCAUUAGUAAUCCAUUGUGAUCUUAAGCCAAGCAACAUUCUUCUAACUGAAGACAUGAGCGCCCGAAUUGGAGACUUUGGCAUAUCAAGUAUUCUUCAAGAAAAUACAAGCAAGGGGAUGCAAACUUCAUAUGGCUCAACUGGAAUUAGAGGUUCCAUAGGCUAUGUUGCUCCAGAGUACGGAGAAGGCUCUGCGGUCUCAACAUAUGGUGAUAUUUAUAGCCUUGGCAUAUUGCUACUUGAGAUGUUUACGGGAAGGAGCCCAACAGAAGGCACGUUUAGAGAUUCACUAGAUCUACAUAAGUUUGUCGAGGAUGCUCUUCCAAAUAGGACCCUGGCGAUAGCUGACCCAACAAUGUGGCUGCACAACGGACAAGAGGAUAACACUACAAGUAUUAGAAUCCAAGAGUGCUUGAUUUCAGUCUUGAGGCUUGGCAUAUCCUGCUCGAAGCAACAACCUCGAGACCGAGCACUGGGGAGAGAUGCAGCGGCAGACAUGCACGCAAUCAGAGAUGAGUACCUUGUGUUUGCUGCUAAUCAUACAGGGGGGCAUGGAGCAAAAGAGGUGCCUCGGCUCGAGACAUUCGAUCUGGAAUGA